GGAAGGACUUCAUCCUGAUUGGUUAGAAGGCAACUCAGGUAGCUCAUUGGUGUUUUUGGAGGAGGAGUCCUCCAUUUUAAGUCGGGCUUGCAGACAGGGUGCCUUCUGGCAGGUUCUGCUUUGGAAGAGAAGUGGUUAACAAUAGCUUCCGACAAAAAGACCCCUGGUGCACAGUGGUUUGUUUUUGUUUUUGUUUUUGUUUUGUUUUGCGUGGGGCUUGUUCCCGUAGUCCCUGGCUCAAUUUCUGCACUAUAUCUCCUUUUUGGGGAGUGGGGUGGGGCCUCAGGGCCUGAGGGGUCCAGAAGAAGAAAGGAAGCAGAGAGGAUCCUGGAGAUUUUCUGCGAGACAGCUGGAGGAAAUCCUGUGUACUCUGCAUUCAACGUGAUUCCCAAACAAAGUGGAUCUGAACUGAUGCCUUUCUGGGGGAAGAGCCUAUUUUCCAUCUGGGAAAGUGCCUCUUUGUGUGGUGUGAGGAAACAGCAGUCCAUAGUACCUCAGGCAGCUUGUGAGGACCAGGCUUCUUACCAGAUCAAGUUUUCACUCCACAGACCUGCCUUUCUCUCAAGGAACCCCUCCAGAGUGGAGCCCCACCCUUCCCAGCUUGCGUGA
rnacentral:lncRNA from 1 species